GCCAUUUGGGAGUGAGCGCAUUGCAAUAGAGGCAAAAAUUUCGGCACAUAGAUGUAAAUACACGGCUGAUGAAACUCACAAAAUACUGGAAUAGACAGCACAAAAGCUUAUACCGAUUCCUGUAUAUAUUUGAGGCAAAUUUCAUGAUAAGUCGGGACUAAAAUGGAGGCUUGAUAAAGUUCACGAAGCGAUAUCAAUUUCGCUGUCCAUUUACUGUAGUUGAAAUAUCUUUGUGGUUGAAAAGAGGUAAAAUAAUUGAAUUCAUAACUAAGCUAAAUCAAUUUAGAAAUAUAUAGCGUAGGUGUAGCGAUUUCAGGCAUUUGUAGUAUUAACAACAUGAGCGAAAGACUUAGCUAGAGCGUCAGACAAAUCAUAUAGUCCGGGCGAAAUAACUUUGCUGCAAUCUGGCAGUGCUGAAGAUAACCGAGCGCAUCUAGCUAUGAAUAUAAACAACAAGGAAAAGCCCAAAAUGAUUAAUGUAGAACAAGUCAUUAAUAUUCUUCGAACUGACAUGAAGACUGACCAAAAAUAUAGUUUAGUAUUAGGAAAUGUUCAUACAUUGUAUAAAUUCUUACUCUGUAUAUUGGACAAUGCCACAUGUUGCAUGGCAUGCAUUUAUGUUAUAUGGCUUACUUUACCAAACGUUGGGAAUGAAAAGUCGAAUUGAUACCCUUUAUCUUUACUCACUUUAAACACUACCUGUACCUCUCUUUUCAAUUUUGUGGCUAUUUGGUUUGGUCUCAGUAGACCCGGCAUGAUUAAAAGUACUAACCAGAACACUAACAUUGAAAAGGGAGUAGUGGUGAUAUUACUAAUAUGUACAUAUGUGAUAAAAUACCCUGAAGAAUAUUGCCUACAAAUACCCACCAAUUCAUUAUUUUCCAUCCUUAACCUUCUGACUGUUAGGUAAAAGCAAGGUCAGAUGACAUGGAACAUAUAACCCAGGGAGACAAUUGUGCUCAGGUUCAAGCUCUACUGGAUUUACUCAACUAUUGCUCACUCACAACUAACAACUACAGAAGAAAUUGGGAAUUAUAGAAGAACAGUCUAACAGACAUUAUGUAUAAUGAUGUCACAAAAUGUCCGCAAGGAAUGCUGGUCUUAGUAGUCAUUGCCCAGGAAAAUGUCGAUAGUGGAUAAAUUGUUUAAUUUUUCUAGGCGAUGAGUACUAAGACCAGCAUUCCUCACAGGCAUCAAGCCUUGUGACAUCAUUAUGCAGAAGGUCUAUUGCAAAAGAAUAACUGGACGUCUUGCAGUACAAUGUCUCUGAUAGUAAUCACCACACAAUAAAUCAACCACUGAGAAACAUCAACUUUAUUUAGUCUAUAUUACAGUACAACCAAGUAAAAUAUUCCCAAACACUUUAUUUUAUCAAUAUUUAAAAAAUACAUGAUAAUUUAUUGUACAAACACAUGUUGAAUAUAAAAUUAAUUGUGUAUUAAUAGUUAUUGCAAUAAAUAAACCUUUAUGCACAUAUCAAUGUUAACC